GUCACGUUUUAAAUUGGUAGUUCACAUUCCACGUUUCAAAUUGGUAAGGAGAGUAUCACAUACCCAUAGCAUGAUUUUCUCAACAAUAGUUAUAAAUGUUGUGUACUCCAACACUAUAGCAGUAGAACAAAGCAACACAGAAACAAAGAACCAGUUGAUGGUUGUGUUUAGGCAAAGUGAAUGUUUAACCAAAUAGCUGAAGGAUAAAAAGGAACCGAUCUCUACUGCCAAACAAUACCCUCUGGCAAGAAUCCCAGUAUACAACCGCUGCUAAAUUACCACCCAAGUCAAAAAGAAGUAGAUUUCACCAGAGCCGUCUCCAGAUCUAUAUGGUUACAAGUUCGAAACACAGAACCCAAUCAACACAAGCAGUGUGGGCUUCAACCGAGACAACUAAUCAUAUGAUAAAGUUGGCCUAAAUAUUUAGCUCAACUAGUCUGUACAUGCAUACGUCCUGCAACUCUGGUUGACACAGGAUGCACAUCUAUGGCAGCUUUGCUGCAGUUUUGUUUACUGCUUAAAAUGAGAAACUUUCUAAUCAUCCUUAUAUUUGUUUUACUCAGGAUAAUGCACUUGAUUUGUGGCUGCAAUAAGUUUUAUUUGUCAACAAGUACAGAUUUUGCUGUCCAAGAGAAUUUCUACUUGAAACUCAUGCAUAUUGGAGGAUGAAUUUUAGCCAAUGCAAGGAUGGAUGAAGGAAGAAUCCACAAGCCAUCUCCACAGAUCAAGCCAGAGGCCACUGCAGGAACCAUCAAACCUGCUUUACUGCGGUUUAGCUUGUGCCAUGCAAACACAAUCAGACUCCCCACACACAUAUCAAUUGCAAAGUACGCCCCCACUAGGAAAGGCACUGCCAUAGCCAUUGGAAGAGGGAUCCAUUUGCUAAUAUUUUUUGGGGAUAGAUCUCUGACCAAAUUGGCCAAAAUAGCAAAGGCAAAAAACCCAUAACAAAGCUGCAAGCAAUGCCGGGGAAGGGCAGAGAAACCUUCGACACCAAGAAUCGCCAUGUUUCUAUAUAUGAUGGCAUAGGGAGCUUUAUACUCUCCAUCGGGGUUCCCCACAUCAAAAGCCGUGUAGAAGAGAAAGAAUGUAAGGGGAGCUAUGAUACAGCCUAUUGCAGUACCAAUGACCUGGCUAAGAAGCAUCGAACGAGGAGAAGUGAGAGUGAGAUGACCAGUCUUGAAAUCAUGCAUCAAAUUAGAAGAGAUGGAAACUAUGGAUUUAAUCAGGCCACAGCCCACAAGUCCUGCAACAACACCGUUAUUUCUUCCUGCCAUGGCCGCAAGUACGAAGAGGGCCACCUUUCCAUAGUUAUAUGCCAUAUUCAUGUCAGUUAGACCAGCACCAUAAGCAUUGCAGAAGCUAAGAGAGGGUGCAAGAAUGUAGGCAACAACUACAUAAUACCAUUUUAGCUCAGGAAACAUGAGAGGGAUCACAAUGAUGGAAAUGAUGGAGAAGGCGGUGUAUCCUAACCCUGCUACCCACAUUGGAAUAGUCUCUCUCACGAAAGCUUCAUUUCUCCAAAGAUCAUCAGGAGCUUGAUUUGGCUUAUCUGAAAAUGCAUAUAGAAAAAUGAAGUUAACAUCUUAUGCUACACCAAUGAAUUCAACACAUAUCAAUGGUUUAUCUCUAUUCUAGUGUCACUAUUAAGUGCACCAAUUGCAGUGUGUAAAAUCGUGGUAAAGGUAGCAACAGGAAAGCAGCAGAAAAUUGCCUAUUAAGUUUCAUAGGUCUAUUAUUGCAAUGAAGUCAUCUUGAGAAAAGUGUUGGAGAGGAGCUACAACCGAACAUCUAGUAUUGACUUACAUGUUUUGGAAUUGUCAGUCUUUGCUCCGGCACGGAUGCUACUGGCAGUGAAAUAAAGUAUCUUGACAAAAUUAUAGAGCCCAUCUCCCAGGAUCAGGGCAAUAGAAAUAAAAACCUUGUAACCAUUUACACUCUUCAUACUGCUUUCUGGUACAGUAGCAGGGAACCAAUAUCCUUUAAGCCCUCCUAUUAGUGGCCACAUGAUUCCCCAAGAAAGUACCGCACCAAGAAGUAAAGACAAAUUCACAAGAUGAGAACAGAUCAUUCCUGCUCCAAUGUAAGUCAUACUGAAAUCAAAGUAAAAUGAGUUUUCCCAAGCUUUCAAUCCAAAUGUUGGGAAUUGAGCAAAACCACAAGUCUUUCCACCAGAGUAAAACCACUGAAAGAAAGCCCACAGGAAGCUUAUUGAAAAGAACUUAAGGAAUCCAUGAACCUGCUUCCUAGCAAUCUUGUCUCCUCUAGAAGUAUGGAACCCAUUAAUGAGAACCGCAGUAGCAGUUCCACUAGGGUAAGAUAAUUUGUAAUCUAUUAUCAUAAUCUUCCUAAGAGGAACCAAGGCAAGUAACCCAACAAAACUGGUUACAAAGAGGAAACCAGUCAUCCAACCAAUUCCAGGUUCUUUUGUGCUGCCAGGAUUAUUCCCUUCUGUAUCAACCCCAGCUUGCUCAUAUGUCUUCUUGUUCAAACCCAGAAGAUAAGACCCAAAACCACCUCCAAGAGCAAUGCUAUAACAAGCAACAGCACAAGUUUGAAUUAUGGUAUUUUCUUGUCGAGUGAACGGAUUGGUUACAAUUCCAGCCUUCUGGAGGAGUUUGGUCCAUGUUCUAACAAAAACAAAAGCCAGUAGGGCAGCAGAAACAUUCAGAUUAGGGACUAGCCCUGUGGUGAGGUUUAGCUUCAUCACUAUCACACUGUAUAUGAUGCCAAUUGCUAAGCUAGCUACGACUCCUCUAACUGUGAUCUGUCUAGUCCACGGAGCAACUCUACUUGUGUCCUCUGGCUUAUCUCUCAUCUCUUCCAAAUUCUCAUUCUCAAGCUUCUCAAUCUCUUUCAUUUCUUCCAUGUUCACAUUCUCCAUUAGAUUAUUCAUCAAAAUCUUCUCCUUUCUUGCUGCUGGUUUUCUUCUUCUUCUCUUUGGUAGGAAAUGGAUAAAAACGUUGAACAGAUCACAAAGAUCCAAAAUUGGAAUAUAUUGUCAACGACAAAUCUCAAAUAAACAUUACCCACUUGAGCAAAUCUUCCAAAAACAUCCACUCAGAUUGAAAAGUGGAAACUUUCAAAAUCAGCAGCAAAUGGGGGUAAUAUGAGCUCUGCGUUAGCCAACAAGCUACCUUAUAUAGAAGAAGAAAAAGCAAAAGCACCAGUUGAGACUUUUAAUGUAAUCA
rnacentral:misc_RNA from 1 species